AAAAACUUAGUUAAAAUAUAAUAUUAACUUGUCAAGUUAAAGUUACUAAUAGUAGUUUUUA
rnacentral:tRNA from 1 species